GCUAUUAUCGCUAUCUCUGUCUAAUCUGAAAUAUUUAAAUGCUUAUAACUUUUUUGUUAUUUGAUCGAUUUAAUUAGUUUUUUCAGUUUACGUCAUUAUUUUUAUCCUAGUUUAUAAUAAAGUUAUAAAAAAGUUAGAGUAAAAUACCCUCUUUGCAGAGACUGAAGUGGCA